CUGGGGCUCGCGGCCCACGGGGAGAGGGUGUUGUCGUGAACUUUCAUGAGGUUCUCUUUGUCGAUGACACCCGGGCCACGGUGGGGGCACUAACCCCCCGGGGGGAGGGGUCCUGGGAAUGAAUCGUAGCCCAGCGCUUGGCCUUGAACAGGAUAUUAGUGGAAAUAUUGCUGUGGUUGUCAGGAAACGCGAGUGCAGCCGCACAGCUACUGCCUGUUAUGCAGCGAGGAUAUCCGGUGGCUGCGAGGUCUGUAAUUUAGAAUAAAAAGCUCUCCCAACACCCGAGAGGCUGACCUCAGCGCCGCGUGGCGGUAAUGCGCUCAGCGCCCUCUGUGGAGACGGUCCAAAUCCUGACAGGUGGGAGAGCUUAGGUUAGACCUUCAAGAGCCCUGCAGAUGGACCUGCAGAAUCAGACUGCAAAAGUGAGCCAGCCACUUGCUAAACGUAGUUGAAGUGGAGGGCACAGAUCGCCUGCCAGUUAACAAUAUUAAUAAGUAGUGUUUUCCAGGGCAGACUGCUACUUCCGUGUUGGGUUCUUUACAAAGUGGGUAACUGACCGUUAUUCACGAAGCCAGAAGCGUGUAUCUGCAGUGCCACGAGACUGGAGAAGGAUCCAGGACCACACAGCUGUCUUCUUAGAUAAAUCUGACCCACUUGGCCUUCUCUGGAGGGAUGUUUCGUGCUGACUCACGAGCAACAGGAAGACAAGCUUGCUGUUUUGUGGGUCCCCU
rnacentral:lncRNA from 1 species